AGUCGCGUGUUCUAAUGGUUAUGAUUUGUCGUUCACAACAUGUGAGCUUGUAGCUACAGCUUCCUGUAGUACCGACAAGGUUCCCGGUUCGAUCCCGGGCGCGACUA
rnacentral:tRNA from 1 species